rnacentral:rRNA from 1 species
UACGAAGGGGGCUAGCGUUGUUCGGAAUUACUGGGCGUAAAGGGCUCGUAGGCGGCCAACUAAGUCAGACGUGAAAUCCCUCAGCUUAACUGGGGAACUGCGUCUGAUACUGGAUGGCUUGGAUUCGGGAGAGGAAUGCGGAAUUCCAGGUGUAGCGGUGAAAUGCGUAGAUAUCUGGAGGAACACCGGUGGCGAAGGCGGCAUUCUGGACCGAUAUUGACGCUGAGGAGCGAAAGCCAGGGGAGCAAACAGG